GACGAACGCUGGCGGCGUGCCUAAUACAUGCAAGUCGUGCGGACCUUUUAAAAGCUUGCUCUUAAAAGGUUAGCGGCGGACGGGUGAGUAACACGUGGGCAACCUGCCUGUAAGACUGGGAUAAUGCCGGGAAACCGGGGCUAAUACCGGAUCGUUUUUCCUCCGCAUGGAGGCAAAAGGAAAGGCGGCUUCGCCCGCCACUUACAGACGGGCCCGCGGCGCAUUAGCUAGUUGGCGGGGUAACGGCCCACCAAGGCAACGAUGCGUAGCCGACCUGAGAGGGUGAUCGGCCACAUUGGGACUGGGACACGGCCCAAACUCCUACGGGAGGCAGCAGUAGGGAAUCUUCCGCAAUGGACGAAAGUCUGACGGAGCAACGCCGCGUGAGUGAAGAAGGCCUUCGGGUCGUAAAACUCUGUUGCCGGGGAAGAACAAGUGCCGUUCGAACAGGGCGGCGCCUUGACGGUACCCGGCCAGAAAGCCACGGCUAACUACGUG
rnacentral:rRNA from 1 species